rnacentral:lncRNA from 1 species
AGCGGGCCAGCUCCACUGCGGGUACUUUAACUCCUGCUCGGAGCUCCAGCGCUGAGCGUCCUCAGAUCAAGGAGACAUUCAAUAUCUUAUUCACCUGAGAGGCAGUUUCUGGAAGGUUGACCUGGGACUCUAGUUCAGGGUCUUUCGUUGGCCAUGUCUGAAGGGGCUGGAUGCCGAAGGAGAGAGACGACUUUGCUUUCC